rnacentral:rRNA from 1 species
UACGUAGGGGGCAAGCGUUGUCCGGAUUUAUUGGGCGUAAAGAGCGUGUAGGCGGCCAUGUAGGUCCGUUGUGAAAACUCGAGGCUCAACCUCGAGACGCCGAUGGAAACCAUGUGUCUAGAGUCCGGAAGAGGAGAGUGGAAUUCCUGGUGUAGCGGUGAAAUGCGCAGAUAUCAGGAAGAACACCCGUGGCUAAGGCGGCUAUCUAGUACGGUACUGACGCUGAGACACGAAAGCGUGGGGAGCAAACAGG